UAUACAGUGUCUGAAAAAAGCAGUACUACUCGUCGGCCAGUAAAUCCUAACACAUCUGAUGAUGAUGAUGCCGCGGAAGCAGGUCCAUCAAAAGAAGUAUGGAGCAGCAGAAGUGGCUCUUCUGUAAGACAUCACCACAAGAAACCUGUGGCCGAAAAGAAAGCAAGGUCGUCUGUCCCGGCACAAACACAGCAGGCUACCCCGCCACGAAGAUUAUCGUCCGUAUGUUCUGUCUCCCCACUCCAAAUUUUGGACACACCUCCAAGACGUCAUCCACACUCCCCUCAUCUUGAUUCUUCGAGUCCUGGGAACAGCAUCCCUCCGCAACAACACCAACACAGUGACAUGGAGGAGACUAACAUCUUAGAAAUGCAGCCAUUAAUGCAAGGAAUGAGCCCCCCAGCACCUGUGAGUACACCACAACAGCAAAGCACACCACCACCACAACCCAGCCCAACAACACCAGGAACACAAGGCCCUGAUUAGGUGUUUUGGAUAAUUUGGGCUAGACAGCAGGCCACUAAUGAAGAUUGCCUGCGUAAGCAGACACAAAUGUUUGCAAGCCUACCAUCUCACCUCAGAAGAAUCUCAAGAAAUCUGAGUCGACAAAAUGAGCAAACAACCAGAAUAGGCAAUACCAUGGAACUCAUGCGUACAGACAUUACACAGGUCAUGGGCAACUUACAGCGCAUAAUGGAAGAA